rnacentral:lncRNA from 1 species
GCGUUCUAAUCACCUGUAAAUGCACACUAAACAGGUGUAAAAAUUCAUAUUACAAGUGUUCAAAUCGCCUGUAAACAGACACUGGACAGGUAAAAAAAAUCACGUGUACAAAAAAAAAAGAAAUUUGACACUUGAAAAAAAGCUAGUGAAAAAUGAUAAUUACGUGUUCCGGGUAAGACGAUUUAAAACUCUUGGGCUUGCAUAUUUACUCCUGGGCCAGAGCGUCCAGUGUGCUCUCUGAACGUUCCGAAUUUACAAACGCCCAGAGCGCACUCUGGCACUCCAGAUUGAAUUUACGAACACACCCAUCAUCACCAAGAAACGUAUAGGUAAUGUCGAACUUUGAAAACAUGAGACAGCGUUUUAAAUUUUACCAACCAAGUACAACCACCUCAGGAGAAUCGGGUGGUUCAAAGCUGCCAAACUAACCCUGACUCAGAUGACCAUCCUACCCAUGCUAGAUUACGGAGACGUAUUUUAUAGAUCGGAAGGCCUCACUCCCCCAUCUGAGAUAUCUACUGCAGCCCUCAUCCAACACCCGUUCUGCCAGUCACAUUCUGUAAAAAGGUCCUCAAAAGCACACACAUCCCUGGGUCGCUCGUCUUUUCAGGUCGCUGCUGCUAGCGACUGGAACGAGCUGCAACAAACACUCAAACUGGACAGUUUCCAUCUCCAUCUCUUCAAAGACUCAAUCAUGGACACUUACUGACAGUUGUGGCUGCUUCGUGUGAUGUAUUGUUGUCUCCACCUUGCUCAUUGUGCUGUUGUCUGUGCCCAAUAAAGUUUGUACCAUGUUGUGUUCUACCAUGCUAUGUUGUCUUAGGUCUCUCUUGUCGUGAUGUGUGUUUUGUGCUAUAUUGUUUAUAUAUAUUUUUUUUUAAUCCCAGCCCCCGUCCCCAGAGGAGGCCUUUUGGUAGGCCGUCAUUGUAAAUAAGAAUGUGUUCUUUAACUGACUUGCCUAGUUAAAUAAAAGUAUAAAAAAUAAGCAAAUGAGAUGCAACGGGUAGGUCUAUUCGUUCAGCACAUUCAAAAUGGACACCGACAGAGAUUCAGAUGUUAGCAGGGGCUAUUUUAUCAUGUAAAUCUAGG